rnacentral:piRNA from 1 species
UAAGGUCGAAGGUGAGCACGCACGUCUCCA